AUGUAUCCCCGUACACCCAGGUUCCUCCGCGCCGUCCGCACCCACCUGACGACUGCUCGCUACGUUGUUAGCC
rnacentral:sRNA from 1 species